rnacentral:rRNA from 1 species
UACGAAGGGGGCUAGCGUUGUUCGGAAUUACUGGGCGUAAAGCGCGCGUAGGCGGUUUUGCAAGCCAGAGGUGAAAUGCCUGAGCUCAACUUAGGAAUUGCCUUUGGGACUGUGGGACUUCGAGGACUGGAGAGGUGAGUGGAAUUCCCAGUGUAGAGGUGAAAUUCGUAGAUAUUGGGAAGAACACCGGUGGCGAAGGCGGCUCACUGGCCAGUUUCUGACGCUGUAGCGCGAAAGCGUGGGGAGAAAACAGG